UGAGGAAUAUUGGUCAAUGGACGGAAGUCUGAACCAGCCAUGCCGCGUGAAGGAUGAAGGCGUUCUGCGUUGUAAACUUCUUUUAUCUGGGAAGAAACCACAGAUUUCUAUUUGUGUUGACGGUACCAGAAGAAUAAGCACCGGCUAACUCCGUGCCAGCAGCCGCGGUAAUACGGAGGGUGCGAGCGUUAUCCGGAUUUACUGGGUUUAAAGGGUGCGUAGGCGGGCUAUUAAGUCAGAGGUGAAAUCUCCGGGCUCAACCUGGAAACUGCCUUUGAUACUAUUAGCCUUGAAUUAUGCUGAGGUUGGCGGAAUAUAACAUGUAGCGGUGAAAUGCUUAGAUAUGUUAUGGAACACCGAUUGCGAAGGCAGCUGGCUAAACAUAUAUUGACGCUGAUGCACGAAAGCGUGGGUAGCGAACA
rnacentral:rRNA from 1 species